rnacentral:rRNA from 1 species
UACAGAGGUCUCAAGCGUUUGUUCGGAUUCAUUGGGCGUAAAGGGUGCGUAGGCGGCGCGGUAAGUCGGGGUGUGAAAUCUCGGAGCUUAACUCCGAAACUGCAUUCGAUACUGCCGUGCUUGAGGACUGGAGAGGAGACUGGAAUUUACGGUGUAGCGGUGAAAUGCGUAGAUAUCGUAAGGAAGACCAGUGGCGAAGGCGGGUCUCUGGACAGUUCCUGACGCUGAGGCACGAAGGCCAGGGGGAGCAAACGGG